GACGAACCGUACGAACGUUAUUCGGAUUUACUGGGCUUAAAGGGUGCGUAGGCGGCGCGGAAAGUUGGGUGUGAAAUCCCUCGGCUUAACCGAGGAACUGCGCCCAAAACUACCGUGCUCGAGGGAGACAGAGGUGAGCGGAACUUAGGGUGGAGCGGUGAAAUUCGUUGAUAUCCUAAGGAACACCAGUGGCGAAAGCGGCUCACUGGGUCUCUUCUGACGCUGAUGCACGAAAGCUAGGGUAGCGAACGGG
rnacentral:rRNA from 1 species